rnacentral:rRNA from 1 species
UACGUAGGGUGCAAGCGUUAAUCGGAAUUACUGGGCGUAAAGCGUGCGCAGGCGGUUGUGCAAGACAGAUGUGAAAAUCCCCGGGCUCAACCUGGGAAUUGCAUUUGUGACUGCACGGCUAGAGUGUGUCAGAGGGGGGUAGAAUUCCACGUGUAGCAGUGAAAUGCGUAGAGAUGUGGAGGAAUACCGAUGGCGAAGGCAGCCCCCUGGGAUAACACUGACGCUCAUGCACGAAAGCGUGGGGAGCAAACAGG